CUCUGGGGAGCUUGGGCACUCGGGCACAGCCCUCUUUUCCUGCCCUGCUCUCCAGCUGUCCAGCGUUUACAGGUGAAACCACCUGCAGCUGCUGCCCAUGAUGGAGGCCAUCAAGAAAAAGAUGCAGAUGUUGAAGCUGGACAAGGAGAACGCUCUGGAUAGGGCAGAGCAAGCUGAGGCUGAGCAGAAACAGGCGGAAGAAAGAAGUAAACAGCUGGAAGAUGAACUAGCAGCCAUGCAGAAGAAGCUGAAAGGGACAGAAGAUGAGCUGGACAAAUACUCUGAAGCUCUGAAGGAUGCCCAGGAGAAGCUGGAGCUUGCAGAGAAGAAAGCAGCUGAUGCUGAGGCAGAAGUGGCCUCCUUGAACCGUAGAAUCCAGCUGGUUGAAGAGGAGCUGGACCGUGCACAGGAGCGCCUGGCCACUGCCCUGCAAAAGCUGGAGGAAGCUGAGAAAGCUGCCGAUGAGAGUGAGAGAGGUAUGAAAGUUAUUGAAAACCGGGCCCUAAAAGAUGAAGAAAAGAUGGAACUCCAGGAAAUCCAACUCAAAGAAGCGAAACAUAUUGCGGAAGAGGCAGAUAGGAAGUAUGAAGAGGUGGCUCGUAAGUUGGUGAUUAUUGAAGGAGACUUGGAACGCACAGAGGAACGAGCUGAGCUGGCAGAGUCUAAGUGUUCUGAGCUGGAGGAGGAGCUGAAGAAUGUCACCAACAACCUCAAGUCUCUUGAGGCUCAGGCGGAGAAGUACUCCCAGAAAGAAGACAAAUACGAGGAAGAAAUAAAGAUUCUUACUGAUAAACUCAAGGAGGCGGAGACUCGUGCUGAGUUUGCUGAGAGAUCAGUAGCCAAACUGGAAAAGACAAUUGAUGACUUGGAAGAUAAGCUGAAAUGCACCAAGGAGGAGCAGCUCUGUACACAAAGGAUGCUGGACCAGACUCUGCUGGACCUGAAUGAGAUGUAGAGCUCCCCAGGCCCGCCCUGCCGCUGCUCCUCCCUCUGACCCGACUCCGCCUGAGGCCCACCUGCCUGAGGCUGACCUCGAAACUGAGGGCUGACCUUUAACUGGAAGGCUGCUUUCUCCUUUCUACAUUCUCUCUCCCCACCCUACCUUACCCGAGCCCCUUGUCUUUUUCAUCAAACUGUCUCUGCCUCUUCUCAGAUUCCGGCUGGGCUAGAGGCUGAGCACCUUUGGGAACAACAUCCAAGGGAAUGUGAGCGCAGUGCGAAGUGUCUUUAAAAGCAUGUUGUCACGUACACAUUUGUAAUACCGUUUUUGUUGUAGCAACCAUUUGUAAAACAUUCCCAAUAAUUCCACAGCUCCACAGCAGCAAUCUUAAUUCCUCUGUCACUUUGGAAAGUAACUUUUUGGCCGAAUGCGUAGUGCCCUCUCCACAGAGGAGGAAAAGAAAUAUGGGCAUCUCCCUCACCAGGAGCCAAACAGCCCAGGGAAAGACUCCAUCGUAGAAAAACCUCACUACUCUGCACCAAGUACCAGCCAAACCAGGAAGGUGAUCCCAGGAGGAGUUAGCAAAAAAAAAAAAAAACCCUCGCUGCUCAGGUUUUGAGCUUUAAGAUGUCUUUGGACAACUAUUUUUAUUUGUUAAUUUUUUCAACAGAAGUGAGCAGAUUAAGAUGAUGAGACCUCUUAGACUUUUUUCUUUUUCUUUUAGUGAUGUGUAGGGGAUUGAACCCAGGGAGGGCCUCAUGUAUGUUAGGCAAGAGCUCUUCCACUGAGCCCAUCCCUG